rnacentral:rRNA from 1 species
UCGGGAAUUUUGGGCAAUGGGCGAAAGCCUGACCCAGCAACGCCGCGUGAAGGAUGAAGUAUUUCGGUAUGUAAACUUCGUAAGAAUAGGAAGAAUAAAUGACGGUACUAUUUGUAAGGUCCGGCUAACUACGUGCCAGCAGCCGCGGUGAUACGUAGGGACCAAGCGUUGUUCGGAUUUACUGGGCGUAAAGGGCGCGUAGGCGGCGUGGUAAGUCAUCUGUGAAAUCUCCGAGCUUAACUCGGAACGGUCAGAUGAUACUGCUGUGCUAGAGUACAGAAGGGGCAAUCGGAAUUCUUGGUGUAGCGGUGAAAUGCGUAGAUAUCAAGAGGAACACCUGAGGUGAAGACGGGUUGCUGGGCUGAUACUGACGCUGAGGCGCGAAAGCUAGGGUAGCAAACGGGAUUAGAUACCCCCGUAGUCCCUGAGCGGGCUGGCAAGGCGCAU